rnacentral:rRNA from 1 species
UACGAAGGGGGGCGAGCGUUGUUCGGAAUUACUGGGCGUAAAGGGCGCGCAGGCGGCUCAGACAGUCAGAUGUGAAAGCCCCGGGCUUAACCUGGGAACUGCAUUUGAUACUACUGAGCUUGAGUACGGGAGAGGAUAGUGGAAUUCCCAGUGUAGAGGUGAAAAUUCGUAGAUAUUGGGAAGAACACCGGUGGCGAAGGCGGCUAUCUGGACCGUAACUGACGCUGAGGCGCGAAAGCGUGGGGGAGCAAAACAGG